rnacentral:rRNA from 1 species
GAUGAACGCUAGCGGGAGGCUUAACACAUGCAAGUCGAGGGGCAGCAUAGGGUAGCAAUACUCUGAUGGCGACCGGCAAACGGGUGAGUAACGCGUAUGCAACCUACCCUGUACAGGGGGGAUAACCCGGAGAAAUUCGGACUAAUAUCCCGUAAUAAUAUCCGGAGGCAUCUUUGGAUAUUUAAAGUUUCGACGGUACGGGAUGGGCAUGCGUAACAUUAGCUGGUUGGUAAGGUAACGGCUUACCAAGGCUAUGAUGUUUAGGGGUCCUGAGAGGGUGGUCCCCCACACUGGUACUGAGACACGGACCAGACUCCUACGGGAGGCAGCAGUGAGGAAUAUUGGUCAAUGGGCGCAAGCCUGAACCAGCCAUCCCGCGUGCAGGAAGACGGCCCUAUGGUUGUAAACUGCUUUUCCAGGGAGAGAAACUUACGCACGUGUUGCGUGACUGACGGUACCCUGGGAAUAAGCAUCGGCUAACUCCGUGCCAGCAGCCGCGGUAAUGUGUGUGUACG